rnacentral:rRNA from 1 species
GCCUUAUACUGCAAGUCGAACGAAGUAGCAAUACUUAGUGGCAGACGGGUGAGUAACAUGUGGGUAUCUUCCCUAUGGUGAGGAAUAACACGAGGAAACUUGUGCUAAUACCUCAUAAGUCUUUACGGAGAAAGCUUUAUGCGCCAUUGGAUGAGCCCGCACUUGAUUAGUUUGUUGGUAGGGUAACGGCCUACCAAGACUGUGAUCAAUAGCUGAUUUGAGAGGAUGAUCAGCCACAUUGGGACUGAGACACGGCCCAAACUCCUACGGGAGGCAGCAGUAAGGAAUCUUGCACAAUGGAGGAAACUCUGAUGCAGCGAUGCCGCGUGAGUGAAGAAGGCCUUUGGGUUGUAAAGCUCUUUCGUCGGGGAAGAAAAUGACUGUACCCGAAUAAGAAGGUCCGGCUAACUUCGUGCCAGCAGCCGCGGUAAUACGAAGGGACCUAGCGUAGUUCGGGAUUACUGGGCUUAAAGAGUUCGUAGGUGGUUAAAAAAGUUGGUGGUGAAAUCCCAGAACUUAACUCUGGAACUGCCAUCAAAACUUUUUAGCUAGAGUAUGAUAGAGGAAAGCAGAAUUUCUAGUGUAGAGGUGAAAUUCGUAGAUAUUAGAAAGAAUACCAAUUGCGAAGGCAGCUUUCUGGAUCAUUACUGACACUGAGGAACGAAAGCAUGGGUAGCGAAGAGGAUUAGAUACCCUCGUAGUCCAUGCCGUAAACGAUGUGUGUUAGACGUUGGAAAUUUAUUUUCAGUGUCGCAGCGAAAGCGAUAAACACACCGCCUGGGGAGUACGACCGCAAGGUUAAAACUCAAAUGAAUUGACGGGGACCCGCACAAGUAGUGGAGCAUGU